rnacentral:rRNA from 1 species
UACGAAGGGGGCUAGCGUUGCUCGGAAUCACUGGGCGUAAAGCGCACGUAGGCGGCUUUUUAAGUCAGGGGUGAAAUCCUGGAGCUCAACUCCAGAACUGCCUUUGAUACUGGGAAGCUUGAGUUCGGGAGAGGUGAGUGGAACUGCGAGUGUAGAGGUGAAAUUCGUAGAUAUUCGCAAGAACACCAGUGGCGAAGGCGGCUCACUGGCCCGAUACUGACGCUGAGGCACGAAAGCGUGGGGGAGCAAACAGG